CGUAGGUGGCAAGCGUUGUCCGGAAUUAUUGGGCGUAAAGCGCGCGCAGGCGGUCUCUUAAGUCUGAUGUGAAAGCCCACGGCUCAACCGUGGAGGGUCAUUGGAAACUGGGAGACUUGAGUGCAGAAGAGGAGAGCGGAAUUCCACGUGUAGCGGUGAAAUGCGUAGAGAUGUGGAGGAACACCAGUGGCGAAGGCGGCUCUCUGGUCUGUAACUGACGCUGAGGCGCGAAAGCGUGGGAGCGAACAGGAUU
rnacentral:rRNA from 1 species